UCAAAACCAUCAGCUACCUUGUCAAAGCAAAAAAACAGCCCCUCAUUCUCCAUAUCAACACUUCAAAAAUCCCAGCAAUAACAAAGAGCAAAAUCACAGCCCUACAUUCAACAUCCUAACAAUAAGAAGCUUACAAACAGACUAGGAAACUCAGGAGAAAUCCAUCAUUUUUACAUCAUCCGGAAACUACAAACAUAGCCAACUCCCAACACUAUCUCCACAACCUCCAAAACAUCAAAAAACAGAACCAAAACAUAGGAAGCUUCCUCCUUUCCUACCAUCAACCCAAAAAAACCCAGCAAAGGUCCCUCAUUUUUGCCAUUUACCCAAUAACUACAACCCACAAUAGUAGUAGCGGCGGCAACAAACAACAACAACCACAGACAACGGCAACGAACAACAACAAAGACCAACAACAAAGAAAAGAGAAAAGAAGACAGAACCAGAAAGCUAAAGCGAAAGCAUUGGAAAGCAGAGCAACCAAGGAGGGAAAAUGGAGAAACUGAAAAGAAAAAAGAGGAUAAAUUAUAUGCAUUUUGCACCAAAUAUGCGUCGUCGAGUGGAAAUGUUUGCGAUAGGGGGAAUAAUAUUGAGCGUGGGCGAAAUCUAGUGCCUUUUGCAUGAGGUGAAGUACUUUGGGAAAAAGAGUUGCACUUGGUUUGCUAUGCUAUGCUACGCAAUGAGGUAAAUCUCAUUAACUUUAUCAAGUCCUUUACCCACUAGUCAGUGCCAAGAAAUCACAUGUUUAGCUAUGACUUUUAAUUUUGCUUGCCUAAAUAAAUUGCUUACAUGCCAUAUAUUCACAUCUAAACUUAAGGAGGUCCAACUUGUGAACUAAGCACAUUCUUUUGAAACCCUUUUAGGCCUCGCAUCCACUUAUGUUUCAACGAGUAGUCAAAUUUGAACUCUCUUACAUACUUAAUUCAAGCCAAUCCCACAUUUAAAUAAAAAGAAACACUAACCCAUUUCUCUUAAGCCUAGUUUCAAAACAUUUGCUUUGCAUACAGUAGCUCUGUUGACCUGGAGAGCGUUGUAGCGACUACAAAUAAUUUCUCUAAAAAAAAGAAGAAGAAAAUACCGGCUGAAUUAAAGAAUAUCUUAUCUCCUCUUUAUUUCUUCUCUCUCUCUCUCUCUCUCCUCAUAAGGAAAAUUAUACAUACAAUUUGAACAAAAAAGAAAACAAAAAAUGCAAUGAAAUUACAAAAAUUGUAUUUCACACAAACUAGGAUAAUCAGAACAAUAAUUUUAAAAAAAAAUCAGCCUUUAUGUCAAUGGUUCAAAAUUACAAUAGAUUCGGACAAAACACAAGAUUGAAAACGCAAUUGAGUGUAAUUCAUUGGCAGUAAGGAAGAGGACAAGUGGUAGUGAAGGCAUGGAAGAUGAAAACGACAGUGAAGGCAUGGAAGACGAAAACGACGCGACUUUCUCACUUGGAGGAGAAAAAUAGCAAUUUUCCUCUCGUUGAUUUGAUCCUCUCUCUCUCUCUCUCUCUCUCUAAUGAUAAGUUU